UCCAAAUGGCAUCUUCAGGUCAAGCAGGCUGAGUCUGAAGACAAGGCCAAGGACAUUGUUCAUCUCAUUAACCACCAGCACGGAGGACUGUCCCUCCAAGGGAAAGGCAGAUGGUGACAGCCUUAGGCUCAGAUACAUUUUACUGUGAUUACACUCGAGAUGGAUGGAAGCCCACCUGACCCAAAUUACCUUGGAUACAUGCAGCUCCCAGAGAUUCAGCCUUUUUAGGAAAGAGCAAGCAAGAUCAAGGGGAAAAGGAGACUGAAGAACGAUAAUGAAAAAUUGAGUUAUUGUAGUAUGUCCCAAAGACUAAUGUGGGAUUGCUGAGCUCGACAGGAAGAAACACCUUUCCAGCAUCAGUGCCUAGAUAUACAUCUGAACCUCCACAUAACCCUCUGCCCCUUGAAGGACACAUGUAUACAGACCACCUGACAUCUGUUCAGACCACCAGACAUGACCAGAACUCCUGACACCCAUCCUCCAGGCCACCUAGCAUCCGUCGUCCAGACUGAUGACUAUCCCGGAACAAUCCUAGGGCUAAAAUGAAGGACUGAUUAUUUUCAAGAAUGCACUUUUUACCAAAAGAACUCUUAACUUUUCUUUCUUCUUUGGAAUACUUCCAGGUUUUUGCCUAGCCGUGUUCUCAGUCUGCAGAUUCCAAGACCCUUGAAUAAAUCUUCAUCAUUUAUUUGUCAAGCAUCUGUCCAACUAGAGGUUGCUGAAUGGAGAGUAGGAGCCGGGGCAGGAAAGAUCUAGUCUAAACUAUGAUGGGGGUCGGGGCAAGGAGGCAGAGCACCGUGUUCUUCUCAGAGGCCUGGAGCUUCCAGGAGAUGACGUGGUCAAGAAGAGUUGCAUGUUUAUUUAUUUUUUAUUGUUGUUCAAGUACAGUUGUCUCCAUUCUCCCCUCACCAGUCCUCCUGCCUCACCUAUCCCCUCCUCCCAUGCUUGAUCCUACUCCCUUUAGCUUUGUCCAUGUUUCUUUUAAGCAUGUUUAAAAUUAUAGCAUGGACAUGGCAGUGUAAAUA